AAAAACAAUAAUUGGUUAGCACUUAGCAUAAGAGAGUUGUAUACAAGAAAAACGCUGCAAUCCGUUCCGCUCCGCCAAAAAAACUAGUCCAAAUUCACUCGCAAAUAAGCGCGCAUUCCGACAGUCAAUCCGGACAUGGUUUGCUUGGCGUUACAGGCGAAGGUUUACGGAUUGUUUGGAUGGGAGUAUCGGAAGCCGGUGAGAGCGCCUCCGGCUUGCCCUAUUAAACCUUCAAUUUCAGGUAAGGAGGACCUUGCUGCUGAUGCUCCAAAACCAGUUGGGGUUGAUGAUGUAAAGCAAGAUUAAAGAUGGUCUAUAUCCUGUCUGGAGUGGCAAAGUGCUCUUAAAUGUUGAAAUCUAAAUGUUUAUCGCCAUUGUCCUACAGCAAUGUAUCAUGAAUUCUUUUUGCCUAAUCUGUAUGAAUAUACUAAAUGAUAGUAGUAGUACUUAAUCUUUUGUUCUAA